rnacentral:tRNA from 1 species
ACCUAUAUAUUCUAACUAUAAGAGGCUGGAUUCUUACUUCAGUAAUGUGGGUUUCACUGUAGGUU